rnacentral:antisense_RNA from 1 species
GGGGGAGAAUGGGCAUCCCACCCCAGCACUUUCUAGGAAGGAGGGCAGCAUUUUGAAGGGCUGGAAGUAGAGGAAGGAGGUUGCGGGUAGAAGACUCCAUACUUUCUGUGAUGCCUAUUCCUUAGGAAUCAAGGCUAUCUGUAAUCACAGGGCUAUUUGAAAAAGAGAAGAAAAGGUGUCUUGAAAUUCAACCAACAUGUUUCAAUUAUUUGCUCCUAAGAACAACAGAAGUUUCAACAUUCUGCCAACAAAGUAACUCCUGGAAGAUUGGCACAGAAGAAGGCACAAGGAAGUCAGUGAUAAAAAUAUUUAAGCAGCUUUGUCUGCCUUAGACCUUCCAACUAAAAGUACAGCAUGUGGAAUGGAAUGCUAAUAUGAGGAUCCAAAUUUUCAGGGAAGGAGGAGAGCCUUUAUAUAACCAAAGAUAUUUUUGGACCAUGAAUUCGGAAAUUCUCGGAGCCACCCAUCAGUGCCUGAGCUUCAGUGAGUCCAUAUCCCAUGUCACCCACGGCAAAGGAGAAUCUAAGACUUCUGAAGAGUUUCUUGCUUCUUUCCUGUGGGGCAGUGACUCCACUUCCCAGCAGUAAUGGAAUAUCCUGAAUUAGCUACAUUAAUGUUAGAACCAUUUGGACCUCACCCAGGACUUCAACUACAUUAUGAGUAACUCCUGGACGAUUGGCACAGAAGGCACAAGGCAAAUACCUAUCUCUGUACACCCUGUGCUACUGUGUCAUGUGCUGCUCCAGGCAACUCCAAUGGAUUGGCCACCCUGGCCAAUGUGUUCUAGUAUGUUAGGUUUAUGUUCCCCUGCUUUCUACAAUCCUGUUCAAAGAGUUGCUGACUUAACCACAG